GGCUCUGUAGCUCAGGGGUUAAAGCACUGGUCUUGUAAACUAGUGGGCAUGGGUUUGAAUCUCAUUAGGGCCU